GUUCAGAGCCCGCUGUCAGUGGCACGUCAUCACACUUCCGCCCCAUCACAGCGGGCCUUGUGUGUUUAUAUUCAUACACAUGGGUUUGACCCUUCGGCUGUGUGGUCUGUUCUUUUUUUUCCUCAAUAGGAGAGUCUUGGGCGUGGAUGGGAAGCGUGGCGAAGAAUGAGGCGUGACCAUCUCCUACUCUCAGCAAGUUGAUAGCCGCUGAGGAAAUGGCUGUUCUGAAGCCUGCCUGUGCAGCUGGUGCGGUUCCACUGGCGGUUAGGGACCUCGGGUUCUCUUCUGUGGGGGAGCAGCCAUCUCCUGCUGAGCUUUAAGACACGUGUGGUCUGCUGGAUGAGUUAUUUUGUUCGGUUCUUCCGCUCUCCUCCUGACCCUGCCUUUCCAUGUGUUUGGGGGAGGAUUUGGAUUCAUCUGGUGGUAGUCUUGAGGUAUUUAGUGGCUAGUUCUAGGCAGCAGAGUCUCCCCAACAGCGCCUGCGUUGCCUGCCGAGGUGUCCUGCAGAAAGCACGUGUGGGCCAAGGACUGAGCCCAGGGCCGGUGCUGGCAGGAGGCAAGGCCCCAAAGCCUGCCCUGCCAGGCUGGUUCUUUGUGAGCCGGUCUCAAUGACAGCUCCUAUCAGAGAUCAGUAAAACCAGGUGUGUUCAGAAUGCUGCUUUACAUUUUCUUCCUAAAAAUGGCAUCUUUUAUUUUCUCUUGGUCCGGAAAAGCUCCAGAUAGAGACACACCGUCGCUGAGAAGAGGCGUGGGUUCUGUAGACAUCUGGCUGGCCACAUCUCCGCUACCAGUCCGCCUCCCUGUGGGAUCUGCUUUCAGAGAUUCCAGGCCAAGAGGCAAAAUCGUUACUCAAACUGAAAACACCCUAUAAACCUCCUGUAGGAGAAUUUCAAGGCAGAGAGUUAAAGGGAAUAGUUUUAUUCGAGUUUUAGAGAAAGAAAAUGCAGGAUAAAAAAAUACAGUGAACACAAUCGCAUGAAUAACAAUACCUGUUUCAGCUGGAUCCUUGGGGAAUGGCUCAGAAUUAGUUCUGGGUCUCAAGUUUUUUUGUUUCCCCCUCUGGAUACUCCGAGGCAGUGUGGACUCCGCAGGACGGAAAGGAGACGUGUGUUAAUAAGAAUGCAAGCAUCUUCUCUAAUUCUCUUUGGCGUGAGCACUCGUGUCCCGUGCGGUGUGGAAAUUCAAAGGAGGCAGUUAAUAACCUUUGGUCAGUGGUACAGUGUGGCGUUUAGUGAUGUGGAGGGUAAGGUCACUAAAGAUGUUAAAUGAACUGUUACGUGGCUCGUUCCCCAAGCACUUGCUGCGUCUUUAAUAACGAGCUUCUAAAAGCACUUCCCAAGUUGCAGGCCUCUAAGAUUACAAAUGUCACUCUUGUUAGUGUAACCACAUGCUGGUGAUGAAGGCUUCUCUUUGAUGUGCUAAAUGGGAGAAGGACUAAUGGAGCCAUGAAUAUACAAUAGGCCAUGUUUAAGUAGUAGUCUUGCUUUAGGUAAAACCUUCCUUGAAACCAGAGGCAUUUCAGACAAUACACCCCGGCUCUAAUGGGGAUGCUCAGUGCAGAUAGAAAGCUCCUGAAAACUCGCAGGCUUAUUCUGAUGUGAACAGUGCUUGAGUUCCUCCUCCCCCAACCCCAACGCUGCUGAGGGGGAAGAAAACCAAAACCCACGCGCUUGUUCACCUUUCAUCGAUGCGUUUGUGAUGUGAGUGAGAGGUGCUCUGUUCUUUUGAGAGGACGCAUCUCAGCCCAACCACGUCGUCGAGCAAGACGGCCCCCAGUCCCUGCGAGCGAGGGCGGUGCAAAAGGCAAGCAAAUGGUGUGGAGCCCAGCUGAAGUCCUGAUUAAAAAAAACCCAAGUUUAUGGUCCUAAUAAAUGUCUCGAGCAUGCAAAUUGUCACUCUUGCUAAUGAAACAAUUUUGUAAAAGAUCAUCCUCUGAGAGGGUUUAGUGUUUUCCUACCUCUCUGUCUCGUUAGAUUUACACAGUCAGAAAGGCAGCAGAGCCUGCAUGAAGCUUCUCCAAACCAAAUCAUUUGCCUCCAGAAACUAUUUCCAGCUCCUCAUGAUUUAUUAGGAAAGAGUUUAAGGCGGACUGUAGCGUCUUAUAAAAUACAAAAUGAGAAAACUGUCACACCGACAUGAAGCCUGCGAAAUUGUCAUCCUUUUAGUAUUAACUGUAUUUAAAUUCAUUUGCCCUUAUUAGCACUGAUAUUUGGAACAACUAAUAAUCUCAAAUGAAGCUCUUAAAUUAAAUGGCUUAAAUGUCAAUUCAGUUAGACGGCAGUGUGUGCACUACUGUAUUUAUAUAAAUUAUUUCUCAGGGCCACAAAAUUGUCUAACAAACAGCGGAUCCGGGCAUUGGAUAUCAAGACCCUCUGGUGAAAAGCUUCGGUGUAGCCUGAACCACUGUUACAGAUGGAGAAAAGCGAGUCCACAGCCCCCUUCACCCAGGAGUUUCUUUCCCGGGCGCUUCCACCUGUGACCCAGUUGGAAACACAGACUAUUUACAGGUCGAUGUUCCUUGUCACUUUGUUACUAAGACUCACCUAUUGUCAGUCCAGCCAAGUCACAGAAAUGCUUAUUGCAGUUAAAUAGCAAUUUGUUUCCAUGAAACUGCAAUUAAAGUAUUAGGAGCAGCCAUGUUAGCCUGGCAGUGCUCUGAACACAUGUUAAACAGCCAGCGAUGCCCGCUGGCAGAGGCGGGGCUCCCCCAGCAGCAAAGCGGUGGGUUCCAGCUAAGAGGCAUGUGGGGCCCUGUGCCCCUCUGGGGACCUGCCGAGAGCUGUGAGCGUCAGGGCUGCUCUGGGAAGGCGGACUGGCCCCUCCAGCGAGACUCUUCUCCCCUGGAUGCGAAGGGCUUUCUGCCCGUAAGAUGCGGCCGCGCUUCCUUGAGGGAACCUGUGUGAGAGCAGAUUGAUUCAGCCGAGACUGGACUGAAAGUGGGGGCCUCAGGCCAAUAAUGUACUACAGGUCCUGACACGUUACAGCUGUGUCAACAGGGCCAGGCUCUCUCCUAAAUCACAGCUAAUAAAGCGGAGGAUGAGAAUCCAUUGAUUCUGUUAUAAGUUCUCUGAAUGGCACUGGAAAGUUGUUUAAUGAGUCUCGGGUGGAAGGGGCGAGGCUGCACCCAGUCACCGAAGCCCCGAUGUUAGCUGUCCAUCUUCCUCCAGGAGCAGGGCAGGCCCGCUUUCCCGGCUGUGAGCACCCGCAGCCCAGAGCAAAACCUGCGGGGGAAAGACAGGCUCUGAGCCGAACCCUUCUGACGCUCAGAACGUGCCGAGUGAGAGAGGUGAAAUGCAGAGGUUUUUGCAGAAAAUGCGAGCCCUCGAUGCAAGAUCCUGAGUGGGGGAAAGGGUUGCAGAGGUGGUGUCUUAAGAUGCAAUUAGCAUUGAAUUCUAACCAGCUGGCAAGCCCUCAUCAGCUGCUGAGAACAGGAGGCGUCUCACCUUCCUUUGGCCUAGAAAGUUCCCCCUACCUUGCCUCAGAAGGCUUACGCCCCCAACGUUUUCAGGAGCCAUCCUCGUGUGCAGCGGGUCUAUUUGUAGGACUUGUGUCGUUUGAGCUAAAAAGAGGGAAACAAGAAAGGGUUUCUUCCUAAAUUAAUUUCUCAUUUUCGGUGAAUGGAGCUUUUAGGAACUGAGACGGGAAAAUCUGAAGACAAACAGUUUACAAAUGAAGAUUAAUUAUGAAAGCUGGAAAGGAAAUUGCCUGCCUGGGCGGCGAUUGGAAGCCCUGUCCUUUAAAUACGGUUAGGUGGCGACGGGCGUGUCACCUCCUCACCUCCCUCCGAGGCCUCUGCUUCGGUUUCCAGCGUCAGUUUAUGGGAUUGCCACGCUUUCUCUCACCCUGACCUCCUUAAGCGUGAUGCUUACUAUAAUGACUCUGUCUGGAGCUGCGUAACGCUUUGUCGGGGUCCCUGUGUGUUCACCUUCCCUGUUACCCGUGUUCUCUCUCACGGUCCUUUCAAUGAUCCUCUUAAUGAUUCCUGCCUCGGUUUUAGGGUCGCGCAGGAAGGUUUAGAGGGUGACUUUUUCAGCAGAGCCCGGACUUGAGCGAGGGGACGUUCCCUCUCUUUAGACGCAGCGUUUAAGGGGGAGCCCAAAAUCCCGACGUCAAGACGGGGCUUUCAUGCAGUAUUUUUGCGACUAGAACAAACACUCCAUGAGGAACAAAAUAAUCACAAUCUAAAAUACAGGCAGGAUCAGUAUCACCUAUCUUUCCGUUUCCUCAGGCGCCAACCUUGCUGGGCACCGUCCUUCAUGCCCAAAGUGCCAGAACUCUUCUUGCCCUGGCACUUGGGGCAUGUGCGUAGAAUUGUCUUAUAAAUCGCGAGUGCAACAAUGGUAUAUUUUAGUCUAUGAGCUAGAACUAGGGUUUCCUUUCCUUAAAUAACUAAAAUAUUGUAUUGUUUUUAUCUUUUAUAGCAUAUUUAUCAUUUACAUAUUAUAUCACCUUUAUCCACUCUGGUGGCCUCCAAAAACUUGUUCAGAUUACCUGCAUAUUUUAGCCUUGCUCUAAAAGGAAUGUCUCUUGAAUUUUGACACAUCUCAACAACUUCAUGAUGAAAAAUGCGGUGUAAUUGAGAACUCUGCCUACGUGUCGCUGUUGCUGAGGGAAAAGCCCUAGACUUUAGGAAUUGUCCUAGUCCAGAAAGCAAAAUGGAUAAUUAAUUAUAUCCCAGACAAAACGGCAAGUGGUAUGUUUAAAAUGUCUGAAUGAGCUGUAAUAUUUGUGGCAAAUAAAAGAUCAGUGGAAUUAUUAGGUCAAAGUAGCCCGCAUUUAUAAGUCUAAAAGAAGUAAUACACACGCGAUCAUAUUUAGAGAAAAUUCCUACAUGUUCAUGAGGCGAGAAGCAGACGUGUCACCAAAGAACUAACACUCCUGUCUGUCGUUUGAAACAGGCGAGGGCCGAAGUCUUCCCAUGGACAGGUUAUAUACCCUUGGUCACAUCCAAACACGACGCCGAGCUGAUUUUUAAAAUUUUGUUGGCAGUACUUGCUCUUUUCCCAUUAAUUGCUAGAAUCCAAAAAGACAUCAAAUUUUGUAAAUAAAUUGCUACAACACACCAUUAAAUCCAGCUGCCUAUAUU
rnacentral:lncRNA from 1 species